rnacentral:rRNA from 1 species
CCAGACUCCUACGGGAGGCAGCAGUGGGGAAUAUUGCACAAUGGGGGAAACCCUGAUGCAGCGACGCCGCGUGAGUGAAGAAGUAUUUCGGUAUGUAAAGCUCUAUCAGCAGGAAAGAAAAUGACGGUACCUGACUAAGAAGCCCCGGCUAACUACGUGCCAGCAGCCGCGGUAAUACGUAGGGGGCAAGCGUUAUCCGGAUUUACUGGGUGUAAAGGGAGCGUAGACGGUGAAGCAAGUCUGAAGUGAAAGGCGGGGGCUCAACCCCCGGACUGCUUUGGAAACUGUUUGACUGGAGUGCAGGAGAGGUAAGUGGAAUUCCUAGUGUAGCGGUGAAAUUCGUAGAUAUUAGAAGGAACACCGAUAGCGUAGGCAGGUUACUGGGACGGUUCUGACACUAAGGCACGAAAGCGUAGGGAGCCAACGGGAUUAGAUACCCUUGUA